rnacentral:rRNA from 1 species
UACAGAGGUCCCGAGCGUUGUUCGGAUUCAUUGGGCGUAAAGGGUGCGUAGGCGGCGGGGAAAGUCUGAUGUGAAAUCCUGGGGCUCAACCCUGGAACUGCAUUGGAUACUUCCUUGCUAGAGUACUGGAGAGGAAACUGGAAUUUACGGUGUAGCAGUGAAAUGCGUAGAGAUCGUAAGGAAGACCAGUGGCGAAGGCGAGUUUCUGGACAGUUACUGACGCUGAGGCAACGGAAGGCCAGGGGAGCAAACGGG